rnacentral:rRNA from 1 species
GAUGAACGCUGGCGGCGUGCCUAAUACAUGCAAGUCGAGCGAACGGACGAGAAGCUUGCUUCUCUGAUGUUAGCGGCGGACGGGUGAGUAACACGUGGAUAACCUACCUAUAAGACUGGGAUAACUUCGGGAAACCGGAGCUAAUACCGGAUGAUAUUUUGAACCGCAGGGUUCAAAAGUGAAAGACGGUCUUGCUGUCACUUAUAGAUGGAUCCGCGCUGCAUUAGCUAGUUGGUAAGGUAACGGCUUACCAAGGCAACGAUGCAUAGCCGACCUGAGAGGGUGAUCGGCCACACUGGAACUGAGACACGGUCCAGGCUCCUACGGGAGGCAGCAGUAGGGAAUCUUCCGCAAAGGGCGAAAGCCUGACGGAGCAACGCCGCGUGAGUGAUGAAGGUCUUCGGAUCGUAAAACUCUGUUAUUAGGGAAGAACAUAUGUGUAAGUAACUGUGCACAUCUUGACGGUACCUAAUCAGAAAGCCACGGCUAACUACGUG